rnacentral:rRNA from 1 species
GACGAACCGUCCAAACGUUGUUCGGAAUCACUGGGCGUAAAGGGCGCGUAGGCGGCUUUUCAAGUCGGGGGUGAAAGCCUGUGGCUCAACCACAGAAUUGCCUUCGAUACUGUUAGGCUUGAGACCGGAAGAGGUGAGUGGAACUGCGAGUGUAGAGGUGAAAUUCGUAGAUAUUCGCAAGAACACCAGUGGCGAAGGCGGCUCACUGGUCCGGUUCUGACGCUGAGGCGCGAAAGCGUGGGGAGCAAACAGG